GGUCAUAUCUUGUUGAAACACCGGUUCUCGUACGAUCACCGAAGUUAAGCAGCGUCGAGUAUGGUCAGUAGUAUGAUGGGUGACCGCUAGGGAAUACCAGGAGCUGUAA